rnacentral:rRNA from 1 species
AUGGGUGGGGCGCAUCGGUGCAUACGCAGUGGUGCUGGCACGAUUGCUCCCCCUGUCGGUGCAGUUCUGGGCGGGGCGGCGCGGAUGCGUUGGUGCUGGCUUGGCCGCUCCCUCUCACUGGCGCCACGUAUGCAUAAAGCUAGGACAUGUCUAGUUCUAGCGUCAGCAACACUGCAUGGCGUAGCGACGGCAAGUCCUCGUUCUGCUCCCCGAUACCGUACAAAGAGAAUCCGUUGCAAUAUUCACUGGCAACUAAAUGUUGGUGCAAUGAGAAGACUUCCAGAUGAAUUUCUUGGAGCGAUUGCAACCCAGGGCCGAGAUAUUUCAACUACACUAGAGUUGGUGGAUGCAAGUUCUUCAAAUGGUUCUAUCCAGAAGUUCCCGAGUUCUUGA